rnacentral:rRNA from 1 species
GACGAACGCUGGCGGCGUGCUUAACACAUGCAAGUCGAACGAAGAGCGACGGAAGCUUGCUUCUAUCAAUCUUAGUGGCGAACAGGUGAGUAACGCGUAAUCAACCUGCCCUUCAGAGGGGGACAACAGUUGAAACGACUGCUAAUACCGCAUACGAUCUAACCUCGGCAUCGAGGAUAGAUGAAAGGUGGCCUCUACAUGUAAGCUAUCACUGAAGGAGGGGAUUGCGUCUGAUUAGCUAGUUGGAGGGGUAACGGCCCACCAAGGCGAUGAUCAGUAGCCGGUCUGAGAGGAUGAACGGCCACAUUGGGACUGAGACACGGCCCAGACUCCUACGGGAGGCAGCAGUGGGGAAUCUUCCGCAAUGGACGAAAGUCUGACGGAGCAACGCCGCGUGAGUGAUGACGGCCUUCGGGGUGUAAAGCUCUGUUAAUCGGGACGAAAGGCCUUCUUGCGAAUAGUGAGAAGGAUUGACGGUACCGGAAUAGAA